GACGGAGGGUGCAAGCGUUGUUCGGAAUUACUGGGCGUAAAGGGCGCGUAGGCGGUCUGUUAAGUUCGGUGUGAAAGCCCCCGGCUCACCUGGGGAACUGCGCCGGAAACCGACAGACUCGAGUACCGGAGAGGAGGGUGGAAUUCCUGGUGUAGCGGUGAAAUGCGUAGAUAUCUGGAGGAACACCGGUGGCGAAGGCGGCGUCCUGGACCAAUACUGACACUGAGUGAGCGAAAGCCAGGGGAGCAAACGGG
rnacentral:rRNA from 1 species